GAACGCUAGCGGCAGGCCUAACACAUGCAAGUCGAGGGGUAACAUUGGUGCUUGCACCAGAUGACGACCGGCGCACGGGUGCGUAACGCGUAUACAAUCUACCUUUUGCUAAGGGAUAGCCCAGAGAAAUUUGGAUUAAUACCUUAUAGUAUGCAGACUUCUCAUGGAGAUUGCAUUAAAGAUUACGGCAAAAGAUGAGUAUGCGUCCUAUUAGUUUGUUGGUGUGGUAACGGCACACCAAGACUACGAUAGGUAGGGGCCCUGAGAGGGGGAUCCCCCACACUGGUACUGAGACACGGACCAGACUCCUACGGGAGGCAGCAGUGAGGAAUAUUGGACAAUGGAGGCAACUCUGAUCCAGCCAUGCCGCGUGCAGGAAGACUGCCCUAUGGGUUGUAAACUGCUUUUAUACAGGAAGAAACACUCCCUCGUGAGGGAGCUUGACGGUACUGUAAGAAUAAGGAUCGGCUAACUCCGUGCCAGCAGCCGCGGUAAUACGGAGGAUCCAAGCGUUAUCCGGAAUCAUUGGGUUUAAAGGGUCCGUAGGUGGAUAAUUAAGUCAGAGGUGAAAGUUUGCAGCUCAACUGUAAAAUUGCCUUUGAUACUGGUUAUCUUGAGUUAUUGUGAAGUAGUUAGAAUAUGUAGUGUAGCGGUGAAAUGCAUAGAUAUUACAUAGAAUACCAAUUGCGAAGGCAGAUUACUAACAAUAUACUGACACUGAUGGACGAAAGCGUGGGUAGCGAACAGGAUUAGAUACCCUGGUAGUCCACGCCGUAAACGAUGGAUACUAGCUGUUGGGCUUCGGCUCAGUGGCUAAGCGAAAGUGAUA
rnacentral:rRNA from 1 species